GUGGAUUAGAUACCCUGGUAGUCCUAGCCGUAAACGAUGGACACUAGGUGUUGGUGGUAUCAACCCCGCCAGUGCCGAAGCUAACGCAUUAAGUGUCCCGCCUGGGGAGUACGGCCGCAAGGCUAAAACUCAAAGGAAUUGACGGGGGCCCGCACAAGCAGCGGAGCGUGGGGUUUAAUUCGACGCAACGCGAAGAACCUUACCAGGGCUUGACAUGACCAGGAAGCCGGCGGAAACGUCGGUGCCCCGCAAGGGGCCUGGCCACAGGUGUUGCACGGCCGUCGCCAGCU
rnacentral:rRNA from 1 species